UGGGGAAUCUUGCACAAUGGGGGCAACCCUGAUGCAGCGACGCCGCGUGAGCGAUGAAGCUCUUCGGGGCGUAAAGCUCUUUCGACCGGAACGAUAAUGACGGUACCGGGAGAAGAAGCUGCGGCUAACUACGUGCCAGCAGCCGCGGUAAUACGUAGGCAGCAAGCGUUGUUCGGAGUUACUGGGCGUAAAGAGUGCGUAGGCGGUUUUCUAAGUUCGGUGUGAAAUCUCCCGGCUUAACUGGGAGGGUGCGCCGAAGACUGGGAAGCUGGAGUGUGGGAAAGGCAGGCGGAAUUCCUGGUGUAGCGGUGAAAUGCGUAGAUAUCAGGAGGAACACCGGCGGUGUAGACGGCUUGCUAGACCAUAACUGACGCUGAGGCACGAAAGCGUGGGUAGCAAACA
rnacentral:rRNA from 1 species